rnacentral:rRNA from 1 species
UAGGGAAUCUUCCACAAUGGGCGAAAGCCUGAUGGAGCAACGCCGCGUGUGUGAUGAAGGCUUUCGGUUGUAAAGCACUGUUGUAUGGGAAGAACAGCUAGAAUAGGAAAUGAUUUUAGUUUGACGGUACCAUACCAGAAAGGGACGGCUAAAUACGUGCCAGG